GACGAACGCUGGCGGCGUGCUUAACACAUGCAAGUCGAACGGAAAGGCCCUGCUUUUGUGGGGUGCUCGAGUGGCGAACGGGUGAGUAACACGUGAGUAACCUGCCCUUGACUUUGGGAUAACUUCAGGAAACUGGGGCUAAUACCGGAUAGGAGCUCCUGCUGCAUGGUGGGGGUUGGAAAGUUUCGGCGGUUGGGGAUGGACUCGCGGCUUAUCAGCUUGUUGGUGAGGUAGUGGCUUACCAAGGCUUUGACGGGUAGCCGGCCUGGGAGGGUGACCGGCGACAAUGGGACUGAGGGACGGCCCAGACGCCUACGGGAGGCAGCAGUGGGAAAUAUUGCGCAAUGGGCGGAAGCCUGAUGCAGCAACGCCGCGUGCGUGAUGACGGCCUUCGGGUUGUAAACCGCUUUCGCCUGUGACGAAGCGUGAGUGACGGUAAUGAGUAAAGAAGCACCGGCUAACUACGUG
rnacentral:rRNA from 1 species